rnacentral:rRNA from 1 species
AUUGAACGCUGGCGGCAUGCUUUACACAUGCAAGUCGAACGGUAACAGGCCGCAAGGUGCUGACGAGUGGCGAACGGGUGAGUAAUGCAUCGGAACGUGCCCAGUCGUGGGGGAUAACGCAGCGAAAGCUGUGCUAAUACCGCAUACGAUCUAUGGAUGAAAGCGGGGGACCGUAAGGCCUCGCGCGAUUGGAGCGGCCGAUGUCAGAUUAGGUAGUUGGUGGGGUAAAGGCUCACCAAGCCAACGAUCUGUAGCUGGUCUGAGAGGACGACCAGCCACACUGGGACUGAGACACGGCCCAGACUCCUACGGAAGUCAGCAGUGGGGAAUUCUGGACAAUGGGCGCAAGCCUGAUCCAGCAAUGCCGCGUGCAGGAAGAAGGCCUUCGGGUUGUAAACUGCUUUUGUACGGAACGAAAAGGUUUGGGUUAAUACCCUGGGCCGAUGACGGUACCGUAAGAAUAAGCACCGGCUAACUACGUGCCAGCCGCCGCAGUAA